UAUUUUAAUAGCUUAUUUAGAGCAUGAUGUUGAAGAUAUCAGGGAGAUUUUGAUCUUAGAAUAU
rnacentral:tRNA from 1 species